UUUUUUUUUUUUUUUUUUUUUUUUCUUCCUUGUGUGAACGUGUGUAAUGUUGAGUGAAGGCUUUUGUGCGAUAGUUGGUCUGCAGAAGUAUUUUGAAGACGUCUGGCAAAACUACAGACAAGAGAGCGAGAGCGCGCGCAAGUGGUGAGGCAGACAAACGCGCGUGCAGCAUCCAGCCAGCCUCCCCAGCGUGCGGUCAACAGCGGCCCAUAGCGGGAGAAAGAAGAAGAGGAGGAGGAGAAGGAUGAGGAAGAUGUGUUGCUUAAAAAAAUCAACCACCACCACACUCAUUGAUUCCUUCCUUACCUGCCUCUCCAUGUGUCCUUCCUGUGACACUCCCUUAAUAAGAACUUUAUGAAAAUGCAUGGCAAACUCUGUAGCGUGGUCUGUGUGAAGAGAGGACCUCCAUGACGCAUAUGAAGAGAGAGAGAGAGAGAGAGAAAGCCUGUCUACCAUACUGUCUGUCUGUCUGUCUGUCUGUCUGUCUGUCUGUCUGUCUGUCUUCGUUCCUGCAAUAUAAAAGACACAGACCUGCACACCUGGAGAUGAAACAACCUCAAAAAAUAAACUCGGACUUCCCGCCUGGGUGCGUCCGCCUCCGUGCAAGUCAUGGGGGGGAGGAGGAGGAGGAGGAGGAAGAGGAGGGGUA